AUUGAACGCUGGCGGCAGGCCUAACACAUGCAAGUCGAGCGAGCGGCGGGCGGGUGAGUAAUGUCUGUGAAACUGCCUGAUGGAGGGGGAUAACUACUGGAAACGGUAUCUAAUACCGCAUACCACCACAGGUGCCCAGAGGGGAUUAUCUGGGAGGUGGGGUAACGGCUCACCUAGGCGACGAUCCCUAGCUGGUCUGAGAGGAUGACCAGCCACACUGGAACUGAGACACGGUCCAGACUCCUACGGGAGGCAGCAGUGGGGAAUAUUGCACAAUGGGCGCAAGCCUGAUGCAGCCAUGCCGCGUGUGUGAAGAAGGCCUUCGGGUUGUAAAGCACUUUCAGCGAGGAGGCGUUACCCGCAGAAGAAGCACCGGCUAACUCCGUGCCAGCAGCCGCGGUAAUUC
rnacentral:rRNA from 1 species